AGUGAACGCUGGCGGUAGGCCUAACACAUGCAAGUCGAACGGCAGCACAGGAGAGCUUGCUCUCUGGGUGGCGAGUGGCGGACGGGUGAGGAAUACAUCGGAAUCUACUCUGUCGUGGGGGAUAACGUAGGGAAACUUACGCUAAUACCGCAUACGACCUACGGGUGAAAGCAGGGGAUCUUAGGACCUUGCGCGAUUGAAUGAGCCGAUGUCGGGUUAGCUAGUUGGCGGGGUAAAGGCCCACCAAGGCGACGAUCCGUAGCUGGUCUGAGAGGAUGAUCAGCCACACUGGAACUGAGACACGGUCCAGACUCCUACGGGAGGCAGCAGUGGGGAAUAUUGGACAAUGGGCGCAAGCCCGAUCCAGCCAUACCGCGUGGGUGAAGAAGGCCUUCGGGUUGUAAAGCCCUUUUGUUGGGAAAGAAAUCCAGCUGGCUAAUACCCGGUUGGGAUGACGGUACCCAAAGAAUAAGCACCGGCUAACUUCGUGCCAGCCGCCGCAGUAA
rnacentral:rRNA from 1 species